UACGUAGGGACCGAGCGUUGUCCGGAAUCAUUGGGCGUAAAGAGCGUGUAUGCGGCCACUUAAGUCCUGCGUGAAAUCUUGCGGCUCAACCGCAAGCGGUCGUGGGAAACUGGGUGGCUAGAGUGCGGGAGAGGAGAGUGGAAUUCCUGGUGUAGCGGUGGAAUGCGCAGAUAUCAGGAAGAACACCCGUGGCGAAGGCGGCUCUCUGGAACGCAACUGACGCUGAGACGCGAAAGCGUGGGGAGCAAACAGG
rnacentral:rRNA from 1 species